GUGCUUACUCUAGCAGCACAUUCACUAAAAUUCAAAUGACACCAACAAGAGUACCAUGGCCCCUGUGCAAGGAUGACAGGCACAUUUGUGAAAUGUUCCAUUAAAAA
ensembl:snRNA U6 U6 spliceosomal RNA